UAGAGAUUAAGGAAAUUGGGAAAGCUUGCUUCAAUCUUUCAAUUAUCUACAUUUAUGUAUUAUUUUAAUAACAUUUAACUAAGAACAAUAAUGUUCUAUAAUUUAAAAUAAGCAAAUGUGUUAAAUGAACAUAUGAAGGUCAGACAUAAUUGAUUAAUUAUGUAAAAUUUCUCACCAGAAAAAGAAUACACAAUCUAUUUGAACAGAAUCAGUGAUACUUUGUAAUAAGCACUGGGACAUCAAGAAAGUAAAGGAUGAAACCAUAGCUGGAGUGCAGUGGCAUGAUGUAAGCUCACUGAAAAUAGAACCACUAUAUUAUUCCACAUUCCCACUUAGUGGCAAGAGAGAAAAGGAGUACAAACAAGGGAAAUGCCAGAUGCUUGUAAAACCAUGAGCUCUUGAGAGACUUACUGAUUAUCAUGAGAACAGCAUGAGAGCAACUGCCCCCACAACCCAGUUUCUUCCACCUGGUCCUGCCCUUGACAUGUAGGGAUUACUACAGUUCAAGGUGAGAUUUGGGUGGGCACACAGAGCCAAACCAUAUCCCUUCAAAAAGGUUUUAGUUUGUAUUUUGUAUUUAAUUAUAAUAGAAAUGCAGCUAAGUAUUGUUACUACCAAUGAGUACAAGCCAGCAAAAAGCAACCUGAGACUCCAUCUCUUCCA
rnacentral:lncRNA from 13 species